rnacentral:lncRNA from 1 species
UCAGAGUCACAGCUCCAGCGAGUGGACUUCUCCAACAUCUCACAGCAGCUCCGGCAAGAGUCCACCUGCACUUAUUAAAGAAGAGGGGGAAGAGAACACUCCUGCUUCAUGCUUUCAUCACUCAGUUGCCCACAGACCGACUCGGCCCUCCACAGCACCCAACAGGCUGGAGACAGAGGAAGGACCUUCUACAAUAUUUCACUCAGUUUCGGAUGGUAGUGAGACAAGUACAGUUAGUGAGCUGGAGGAGUGUCAGGAACGUAUGCGGAUUGGUGCAUUUCGUGUGCAGUAUGACUCAGAGACUGAUGAAACCAGAAGCUAUACUGCCAGAUCCAGCUCUGUGUCAGAGGAACCCACCGAUGCUUUCCAAGAAUACAUCAGAGGCAUGUGAGAGUGAUGUCCGACUUCGUCCAAAGUCAUUUAUACGGCCAGUUUUUAAUCAUCCUCACAUGAGGAACUUGAAGAAAACUGAUCCAGUGGCAAAGUUUUUCCAGUAUAAGCAGGACUGGGAGAUGUUAAAACCUGGGUCAUUAGGGAACAACUUACGUAUCAGCCUCCACCACAGAGACCUCAGAAGACGUACUACCCCAACACUUAUGUGGUUCCAACAGAGAAGAAGCGUUCUGCUCUAA